rnacentral:rRNA from 1 species
CCCCAGUAACGGCGAGUGAAGCGGCAACAGCUCAAAUUUGAAAUCUGGCCCCCCGCGGGCCCGAGUUGUACUUUGGAGAGGACGCUUCUGGCGCGGCGCCGUCCGAGUUCCCUGGAACGGGACGCCGGAGAGGGUGAGAGCCCCGUACGGGCGGCCGCCUAGCCUCUGCGAAGCUCCUUCGACGAGUCGAGUAGUUUGGGAAUGCUGCUCAAAAUGGGAGGUAAAUUUCUUCUAAAGCUAAAUACCGGCCAGAGACCGAUAGCGCACAAGUAGAGUGAUCGAAAGAUGAAAAGCACUUUGAAAAGAGGGUCAAACAGUACGUGAAAUUGUUGAAAGGGAAGCGCCUGUGGCCAGACUUGCGCCCCGCGGACCACCCGGCGCCUCGCGCGCCGGGGCACGCCAGCGGGGCGCAGGCCAGCAUCGGCUCUCUCGGGGGGACAAAGGCCGCGGGAACGUAGCGCCCUCGCGGCGUAUUAUAGCCCGCGGCGCCAUGCCCCCGGGGGGGCCGAGGACCGCGCUCCGGCAAGGAUGCUGGCGUAAUGGCCACCGGCGACCCGUCUUGAAACACGGACCAAGGAGUCAAGCAUUGGGGCGAGUGUCUGGGUGGCAAGCCCGCACGCGGAAUGAAAGUGAACGCAGGUGGGAGCUUCGGCGCACCACCGACCGAUCCUGAUGUCCUCGGAUGGAUUUGAGUAGGAGCCCCGCCGCUUGGACCCGAAAGAUGGUGAACUAUGCCUGUAUAGGGUGAAGCCAGAGGAAACUCUGGUGGAGGCCCGCAGCGGUUCUGACGUGCAAAUCGAUCGUC